UAAUAAUAAAGACAGUGGCAGGAUUGUUGGGCUGUUCUUGAUAUUACUGAUGUUUUUCAUCCAUAUUUGCACAUGGAAUCCAUCUUUGACACUCAUCUCCAUCUGUUGUUUACAGGGGUACAUGGACGCCAACAAGUGCAUCGAGGAGCUACUCAAACAGCUGGAAGAAGAGCGGAGGAAUGUCCGAAGGGAGAAGCUGGCCGUGGCUCGCCUGCAGAGGGAAGUCGCACGAAGCAAGAGCGAAGGAACAAUGGUAUAGUUGAUGCUGUCUUACACAUGCACACACAUGCACACACACACACACACACACACACACACACACACACACACACACACACACACACACACACACACACACACACACACACACACACACACACACACACACACACACACACACACACACACACACACACACACACACACACAUCAGCCUAAAACCCACAGCCCACAGUUGUAGGCAUGCCAGUGCUGCUCGGUCAUCGACCAAGGUCACUGCACUGAUAACUUUCCUGAACUAAAAACAUAUAUUUACGUUGGGUCUUGCAGCACUUUUCUGGGUGGCAAUUCUAGGUCUUGCUCCCAUCGCCAUGGUAUUGUCAACCCAUAUUAUGGGACAUUAGUGCAGCAGAUUUCAGGGAUAACAUCAAAUGUAACGCAUGCACACACACACACAAACACAGUGGUUAUAUAACAAGGGGAAAGUAGACCAGGGAGCCAGACGUGCAGACGCGGAGGGCGUGAGGUAGGGCUCGGAGAGAGGGGACCGACAGUGUGACAGAGCAGAUACCAGCUGACCACGGCCUUGGACUCUGUUUACAACUUUAGAACUCCGGUAAAUUCAUUACAUCCCCAAAUAGAUUCAUAAAAGAGCACUACGGCAGCAACCCUAAAGCA
rnacentral:lncRNA from 1 species